CUUGCCUAGGUCUUUGGGGGAGGUACACGGGGCUGUGCGCUCUGCAGAUACUGCAUCUAAUGCCAUGAUUGCUUUGUUUAGGCCCUGGAUGUAGUGGGUUCUUUUGUUGGCUUGUGUUAUCGUCGGGGCGACGAUAAAGAGCUGGGGGGUAGACUGUAGCAGGAGAAGGAAACGAGGUGUGUGCCUAAUUAAGUUCUGGAGGGGAGUGGCCAAUCAGAGAGGGCGCUCAGACUAUAAGGGUUACCCUGGCACUAAUGUUCUAGGCUCCUUGUCGGCGGUCACCUUAAUUGCUGGAUCUCCUGUUCGUCCGCGGACAUCUUACCUUGGUGUGUUCAGCCCGGUACGGUGAAUAUUACAAGCUGCAGUAGAACGGUUGACGUUGGGGCUAAUAUGGCUGGGUUUUGAGUCCUUACCCUUCUAUUAUUACAGGGUCCCGUGUGUUGUGGCGUGGGGUUGACAGCUGCUUCAUCUCGCGUGGAACUACUGCUGCUCUGCCUAGCGGCGACGGCGCCCUGCUCUGCCUAGCGGCGGCUCAGCUUUACCUUGCCUUAUUGCUGCUGUCUAGUGACGUUUGCACCCUUUCGCGCUUUGCGCUUCCGGUUUGUCUCUACUCUGUCUAGCCUAUAGCAGGCUGAGUCGCAAGCGGGUCCAUAGCUGGGGGCAGGGGGGUGUGCGUGCCUACAUGCGUGUGAGCGGGUGUUGGGGAAACUGACUGGUCCCCCGCUUCCUAAGGGUCCCGGCGCCCAGCCUUAGAUCGGCAGGAAGUGGCUGCUGGUACGCGGCGGUGCUCCAAGCUUACGGUGCUGGGAUCGACUGAUUACUCUUUUUAUGGUUUUACUGUGUAAUAAAAGUGUGUGUGUUCGGAACAA